UACACUCCUGCGGGAGGCAGCAGUGGGGAAUAUUGGCCAAUGGGCGCAAGCCUGAUCCAGCCAUGCCGCGUGAGUGAUGAAGGCCCUAGGGUUGUAAAGCUCUUUCACCGGUGAAGAUAAUGACGGUAACCGGAGAAGAAGCCCCGGCUAACUUCGUGCCAGCAGCCGCGGUAAUACGAAGGGGGCUAGCGUUGUUCGGAUUUACUGGGCGUAAAGCGCACGUAGGCGGACUAUUAAGUCAGGGGUGAAAUCCCGGGGCUCAACCCCGGAACUGCCUUUGAUACUGGUAGUCUUGAGUUCGAGAGAGGUGAGUGGAAUUCCGAGUGUAGAGGUGAAAUUCGUAGAUAUUCGGAGGAACACCAGUGGCGAAGGCGGCUCACUGGCUCGAUACUGACGCUGAGGUGCGAAAGCGUGGGGAGCAAACAGGAUUAGAAACCCUGGUAGUCCCAUG
rnacentral:rRNA from 1 species